GACGAACGCUGGCGGCGUGCCUAAUACAUGCAAGUCGAGCGGGCUUUUUAAAAGCUUGCUUUUAAAAAGUUAGCGGCGGACGGGUGAGUAACACGUGGGCAACCUGCCCUGUAGACUGGGAUAACCUCGGGAAACCGAAGCUAAUACCGGAUAAUCGAUAGAAGCACCUACUUCUAUUGUAAAAGUUGGGAUACUAACACUACAGGAUGGGCCCGCGGCGCAUUAGCUAGUUGGUAAGGUAAUGGCUUACCAAGGCGACGAUGCGUAGCCGACCUGAGAGGGUGAUCGGCCACACUGGGACUGAGACACGGCCCAGACUCCUACGGGAGGCAGCAGUAGGGAAUCUUCCGCAAUGGACGAAAGUCUGACGGAGCAACGCCGCGUGAGUGAUGAAGGCCUUCGGGUCGUAAAGCUCUGUUGUUAGGGAAGAACAAGUAUCGGAGUAACUGCCGGUACCUUGACGGUACCUAACCAGAAAGCCACGGCUAACUACGUG
rnacentral:rRNA from 1 species